UACGGAGGGUGCGAGCGUUGUCCGGAUUUAUUGGGUUUAAAGGGUGCGUAGGUGGCCUGUUAAGUCAGUGGUGAAAUACGGUUGCUCAACAAUCGAGGUGCCAUUGAUACUGACCGGCUUGAAAUAAUUGGAGGCUGCCGGAAUGGAUGGUGUAGCGGUGAAAUGCAUAGAUAUCAUCCAGAACACCGAUUGCGAAGGCAGGUGGCUACGAUUGGUUUGACACUGAGGCACGAAAGCAUGGGGAGCAAACAGGAUUAGAAACCCCGGUAGUCC
rnacentral:rRNA from 1 species